AGUCUUCUCCAUGGCCAGCUGAGUACAGGUCUGGGCACACGGUGCCGGGAAGCCUGGUCAGACAGAAUAGAAUGGGGCAGAGACAGCCAGAUGAAUCCUGUAGGAGCAUCAGGAAGGUCCCCCUGGCCAAAGGCCGAAGACCUCUCCCGUCUCCCUGCCCCCAGCUCAGAGACUGUGUCCAAUGGAGCCUGGAGAAGGGGCAUUUCAGGCCAGUUAGAGGCAGGACGCUAAAUGUUAACUCACUUAAUCCUUAUAACAACCCUACGGCCCACCAUAUAAAGAAGUCCAGGCUAUCCUGCCCAGAGACCACACAGAGGAGAACCAAGGCACCUCUGCUGACAACCAGCACCAACUGCCAGCCAUGUGAAUGAGCCUGUUUGGAAGAGGACCCUCCAGCCCCAAUCAAGCCUUGAGAUGAUGCAGCCCUGACCAAUAUACCUGCAACCCACGAAGGACCCCAGGCCUGGACCACCCAGCUAAGCUGCUCCUGGAUUCCUGACCCUCAGAAACUGCGAUAUAAUAAAUGUCUGUUUUAGACCACUUAAGUUUAGAGGUAAUUUGUUAUGCAGCAAUGGAUAACUGAUACACUUGGCCAGUCUCAUUGUCUGGAAUCUCAGCAUCAGAACUUCACCUAUGGGCAGGUUAAGUCACUGUCUUCUCCGUGUCUCUCCCCAGCCCUGAGAUAAAUAAGAACUGGCUAAUGCUGAUUUGCUGAGUCAGAUCAUGGGUAGAAGACACCUCUGAUUUGGUUAGGUGAUGUCAUUCUGGGAAUGGUAUGUGGCCACUUAAUCAUUCUGAACACCCACAGGCCAGGGGUGGUUAACAAAGAGCAGUUUUGACAGAGUUGUGUGACUUCACAGCUUUCCUAUAGUCAGCUUCUAGAAAAGGCACCCCCUGCUUAAGGGGCAGGGCUGUCUUGAGGAUGAGGGCUUGAGGAGAGCUGGGCUCUGACUGGAGUAGGGCCCAGGUUCCACAGAUCCUGUCUU
rnacentral:lncRNA from 1 species